CUGAAUAAAUAAGGUAUCUUAUAUCUUUUAAUUAACAGUUAAACGCUUCCAUAAAGCUUUUAUCCA
rnacentral:tRNA from 1 species